GUUAGCGAGAGCCACAAAAAAGAGAAUUCCAAUAUAUGUUUUCUGCUUUAGAUGCGCAUCCUCUACCUAUUAAGUGUUAAUUAAAUUAAAGGGUUUCUUUUUAAAAUCUUCUAUAACUAAUAAAAAAAUAGGGAAGUUUUGUUAACUUGGGGAA
rnacentral:rRNA from 1 species